CCCGAAAGAUCGAAUGAGGAGACUCAUCGUCAUUGGAGUCGGCUUCCGUGUGGUAAGCGAUGUUUCGAGACGUCAUCCUCGUGGUGACUAUCGUUUGCACGCGUCCGCUGCGGUAUGUCCGAUUACGACGGCGUGCACUUCUCCUCUAGUAGAACGUCGCGACCCGCUGAGUGUCGGUUUAAGGACCAAAGUCGUUGACUAUUCCGUCGUUUCGGCGUACGGUUUUAGACGUUUGGAUUCCCGACCGACUGCUCGGCGGUCUUAACCACGGUAUUGAGCCGCACUCGAAUGCGUUCAGGAGCGUCGCAAGUCUUAACCACAUUCUCCGGAACUUACGGACCUAGUGCCGUGUCCGGGAUUGGUUAGCUGUUGGUCGACGAUUACCUCGAACUGGCUUAUUUACCGGUCAGCGAUGCUAUUGCUUCGGGUGCUUUCAGGA
rnacentral:rRNA from 1 species